UACAGAGGAUGCAAGCGUUAUCCGGAAUGAUUGGGCGUAAAGCGUCUGUAGGUGGCUUUUUAAGUCCGCCGUCAAAUCCCAGGGCUCAACUCUGGACAGGCGGUGGAAACUACCAAGCUGGAGUGACGGUAGGGGCAGGAGGGAAUUUCCGGUGGAGCGGUGAAAGUGCGUAGAGAUCGGAAAGAACACCAACGGCGAAAGCACUCUGCUGGGCCGACACUGACACUGAGAGACGAAAGCUAGGGGAGCGAAUGGG
rnacentral:rRNA from 1 species